rnacentral:rRNA from 1 species
GCUUGCUUGUUGGGGUUGUAGGACACUCUAUACGGAGUUACAAAGGACGACAUUAGACGAAUCAUCUGGAAAGAUGAAUCAAAGAAGGUAAUAAUCCUGUAGUCGAAAAUGUUGUCUCUCUUGAGUGGAUCCUGAGUACGACGGAGCACGUGAAAUUCCGUCGGAAUCUGGGAGGACCAUCUCCUAAGGCUAAAUACUCUCUAGUGACCGAUAGUGAACCAGUACCGUGAGGGAAAGGUGAAAAGCACCCCGGAAGGGGAGUGAAAUAGAACCUGAAACCGUGUGCUUACAAGUAGUCAGAGCCCGUUAAUGGGUGAUGGCGUGCCUUUUGUAGAAUGAACCGGCGAGUUACGAUUUGAUGCAAGGUUAAGCAGUAAAUGUGGAGCCGUAGCGAAAGCGAGUCUGAAUAGGGCGUUUAGUAUUUGGUCGUAGACCCGAAACCAGGUGAUCUACCCUUGGUCAGGUUGAAGUUCAGGUAACACUGAAUGGAGGACCGAACCGACUUACGUUGAAAAGUGAGCGGAUGAACUGAGGGUAGCGGAGAAAUUCCAAUCGAACCUGGAGAUAGCUGGUUCUCUCCGAAAUAGCUUUAGGGCUAGCCUCAAGUGAUGAUUAUUGGAGGUAGAGCACUGUUUGGACGAGGGGCCCCUCUCGGGUUACCGAAUUCAGACAAACUCCGAAUGCCAAUUAAUUUAACUUGGGAGUCAGAACAUGGGUGAUAAGGUCCGUGUUCGAAAGGGAAACAGCCCAGACCACCAGCUAAGGUCCCAAAAUAUAUGUUAAGUGGAAAAGGAUGUGGCGUUGCCCAGACAACUAGGAUGUUGGCUUAGAAGCAGCCAUCAUUUAAAGAGUGCGUAAUAGCUCACUAGUCGAGUGACACUGCGCCGAAAAUGUACCGGGGCUAAACAUAUUACCGAAGCUGUGGAUUGUCCUUUGGACAAUGGUAGGAGAGCGUUCUAAGGGCGUUGAAGCAUGAUCGUAAGGACAUGUGGAGCGCUUAGAAGUGAGAAUGCCGGUGUGAGUAGCGAAAGACGGGUGAGAAUCCCGUCCACCGAUUGACUAAGGUUUCCAGAGGAAGGCUCGUCCGCUCUGGGUUAGUCGGGUCCUAAGCUGAGGCCGACAGGCGUAGGCGAUGGAUAACAGGUUGAUAUUCCUGUACCACCUAUAAUCGUUUUAAUCGAUGGGGGGACGCAGUAGGAUAGGCGAAGCGUGCGAUUGGAUUGCACGUCUAAGCAGUAAGGCUGAGUAUUAGGCAAAUCCGGUACUCGUUAAGG